rnacentral:SRP_RNA from 1 species
GCCGGGUGUGGUGGCGUGCACCUGUAGUCCCAGCUACUUGGGAGGCUGAGGUGGGAGGAUCAUUUGAACCCAGGAAGUCGAGGCUGCAGUGAGCCAUGAUUGAGCCACUGCACCCCAGCCUGGGCAACAGAGAGAGACCCUGUCUCAA